CUGUGCUCGUGGAACCAAGUCCAGAUUCAAGCAAAUGCAAAUGCGCACCGGCGAGACAUAACAUUAAACAAGGAGGAGCGUUUCGUUGCGCGUCCUUGGACAGUUUUUAACUCACACGACACACGCAAGCCAGCCACAGUUGUGUGAAUUGAUCCCAUCGCAGACAUUCCUCCUCCGACGUUGCGAACGUGGUGCUGCUAAGGAAUCUGAGAGAGGGAGGUAUUUAUAUUGUUUCUUCUCCGGGUCUCGGGAAUCAAGCUAAAGGUAAAGAACAGUCCGGCUCU